rnacentral:tRNA from 1 species
GCCGUGGCCUACUGGUUAGCGCUUCGGACUUGUAACCGGAGAGUUGCCGGUUCGAACCCCGACCAGUAGGCA